ACACAUGCAAGUCGAACGAGAAUCUACUGAAAGAGUUUUCGGACAAUGGAUGUAGAGGAAAGUGGCGGACGGGUGAGUAACGCGUGAGGAACCUGCCUUGAAGAGGGGGACAACAGUUGGAAACGACUGCUAAUACCGCAUGACGCAUAGAGGUCGCAUGAUCUUUAUGCCAAAGAUUUAUCGCUUCAAGAUGGCCUCGCGUCUGAUUAGCUGGUUGGCGGGGUAACGGCCCACCAAGGCGACGAUCAGUAGCCGGACUGAGAGGUUGAACGGCCACAUUGGGACUGAGAUACGGCCCAGACUCCUACGGGAGGCAGCAGUGGGGAAUAUUGGGCAAUGGGCGCAAGCCUGACCCAGCAACGCCGCGUGAAGGAAGAAGGCUUUCGGGUUGUAAACUUCUUUUAAGAGGGAAGAGCAGAAGACGGUACCUCUAGAAUAAGCCACGGCUAACUACGUGCCAGCAGCCGCGGUAAUACGCAGGUGGCAAGCGUUGUCCGGAUUUACUGGGUGUAAAGGGCGUGCAGCCGGGUCUGCAAGUCAGAUGUGAAAUCCAUGGGCUCAACCCAUGAACUGCAUUUGAAACUGUAGAUCUUGAGUGUCGGAGGGGCAAUCGGAAUUCCUAGUGUAGCGGUGAAAUGCGUAGAUAUUAGGAGGAACACCAGUGGCGAAGGCGGAUUGCUGGACGAUAACUGACGGUGAGGCGCGAAAGUGUGGGGAGCAAACAGGAUUAGAUACCCUGGUAGUCCACACUGUAAACGAUGAAUACUAGGUGUGCGGGGACUGACCCCUUGCGUGCCGCAGUAAACACAAUAAGUAUUCCACCUGGGGAGUACGAUCGCA
rnacentral:rRNA from 1 species